UACGGGGGGGGCAAGCGUUGUUCGGAAUUACUGGGCGUAAAGGGCUCGUAGGCGGCCAACUAAGUCAGACGUGAAAUCCCUCGGCUUAACCGGGGAACUGCAUCUGAUACUGGAUGGCUUGAGUUCGGGAGAGGGAUGCGGAAUUCCAGGUGUAGCGGUGAAAUGCGUAGAUAUCAGGAGGAAUACCGGUGGCGAAAGCGACUCUCUGGACGGUUACUGACGCUGAGGCACGAAAGCGUGGGGAGCAAACAGG
rnacentral:rRNA from 1 species